rnacentral:tmRNA from 1 species
GGGGGUGAUUGGUCUCGACUUCGGUCGUGAGGCCAGGGGAAGCGAGCCGAGGAAGGCAACGAUGAGCUCGUUAACCAUGCGUUGCACAACACACAAGCGCCGACUCCAGUCAGCGCGACUUCGCUCUCGCUGCCUAACAGCAGCUAGGCGAGUCUGUCAGCCCGGGCUCUGCCAUCGGUCCGGAUCCUGGCAUCAGCUAGAUGGCUUCACCGUGCGGAUCGGUCGCGGAUCUGCACGGGACACCCCACAGCGACUGGGCUCGUCACACCGACUUGUCAGCGGGAUCGGUGGAGCCAAGCAGAGACAGAGUUGACUGCGCUCGGAGAAGCCCUGGCGUUGCGUCGGAGGACGCGGGUUCGAUUCCCGCCACCUCCACAU